rnacentral:lncRNA from 1 species
AGCGCUAUAACAAGCACAGGCACGAGGUCAGGAGACUCAGAGGUCACACGCCCUGAUCAUCGGUUGAGGGAGAAACGAGUCUAUAGAUCUGUGCUGCCAGCAGCCUGACUGCCCACAAACCGGAUCUGGAGUUCACUCCGCUGUUUCUAACCAAAAGCUCUCACCAUGAGGAAGAAGAGAAUUAGGUGGUGAGGUGCCCUGCGUGGACUCCUGUGGUAAGGGCAGAACCUCGUCACCUGCAGAACCACACCGCACCUGUUUGCCUUUCUGAAUCUCUCGCGGCCUCUUCCCACAACCCUCUGCAUAGUUAAGCAUUUAGCACAAAGUUAGUGUUUUAAAUAUCUGUUUACUACCUGGACAGGAAAGUUGGCAGAUGCUUAUAUUACAA